AGAUGAAGCUGUCAAUCAGACGGGGCUGUCAAUCAGAUGGGGCUGUCAAUGGGACAGAGGUGUCAAUCGGACAGGGCCGUCAAUCGGAGUCAUCAUCAAGAUGUAGCUGUCAAUCAGACGGGGCUGUCAAUCAGAUGGGGCUGUCAAUCAAAUGGGGCUGUCAAUCAGACAGAGCUGUCAAUCGGACAGGGCCGUCAACCGGAGUUAUCAGCAAGAUGAAGCUGUCAAUCAGAUGGGGCUGUCAAUCAGAUGGGGCUGUCAAUCGGACAGAGGUGUUAAUAGGACAGGGCCGUCAAUCAGAGUCAUCAUCAAGAUGACAUUGUCAAUCAGAUGGGGCUGUCAAUGGGACAGAGGUGUCAAUCGGACAGGGCCAUCAAUCGGACAGGGCCGUCAACCGGAGUCAUCAUCAAGGUGAAGCUGUCAAUCAAUCACAUUGGGCUGUCAAUUGGACAGAGGGGUCAAUGGGACAGAGGUGUCAAUCGGACAGGGCCAUCAAUUGGAGUUAUCG
rnacentral:lncRNA from 1 species